GGUGUUGUGGCUCAGUGGUAGAGUGCUUGCUUGGCAUGUGAGGCACCAGGUUCGAUCCCCAGCAUCA
rnacentral:tRNA from 1 species